CACACCGCCCGUCACACCAUGGGAGUUUGUUGCACCAGAAGCAGGUAGCUUAACCUUCGGGAGGGCGCUUGCCACGGUGUGGCCGAUGACUGGGUG
rnacentral:rRNA from 1 species